rnacentral:rRNA from 1 species
CCUCGUCAUNUAAUUAGUGACGCGCAUGAAUGGAUUAAUGAGAUUCCUACUGUCCCUACCUACUAUCUAGCGAAAUCACAGCCAAGGGAACGGGCUUGGAAAUUACAACGGGGAAAGAAGACCCUGUUGAUCUUGACUCUAGUCUGACGUUGUGAAGAAACAUAAGAGGUGUAGCAUAAGUGGGAGUUAUAGUAAUAUAACAACAAUGAAAUACCACUACUCUUAUCGUUUCUUUACUUACUUGGUUGAAAAAGAAUAGGUCUUUUUAAGACCGAUUUUGUAGUAUUAAGUUAAGAAUUCAUAUUCUUAACUACUUUUACCAAGGACAGCGUCAGGUGGGGAGUUCGGCUGGGGCGGUACAUCUGCCAAAUGGUAACGCAGGUGUCCUAAGGUGAGCUCAGUGAGGACAGAAACCUCGCGUAGAGUAAAAGGGCAAAAGCUUGCUUGAUCUUGACACCCAGUAAGUGUACAGACUGCGAAAGCAGGGCCCCUCGAUCCUUUUAUUUUUACGAGUUUUAAGUAAGAGGUGCCAGAAAAGUUACCACAGGGAUAACUGGCUCGUGGCAGCAAAGCGUUCAUAGCGACGUUGCUUUUUGAUCCUUCGAUGUCGGCUCUUCCUA